rfam:Rattus norvegicus chromosome 12, whole genome shotgun sequence.
GGGGAUUUGGCUCAGUGGUAGAGCACUUGCCUAGCAAGCGCAAGGCCCUGGGUUCAGUCCCCA